UACGUAGGGUGCGAGCGUUGUCCGGAAUUACUGGGCGUAAAGAGCUCGUAGGUGGUUUGUCGCGUUGUUCGUGAAAACCGGGGGCUUAACCCUCGGCGUGCGGGCGAUACGGGCAGACUUGAGUACUGCAGGGGAGACUGGAAUUCCUGGUGUAGCGGUGGAAUGCGCAGAUAUCAGGAGGAACACCGGUGGCGAAGGCGGGUCUCUGGGCCUUACCUGACGCUCAGGCACGAAAGCCAGGGGAGCGAACGGG
rnacentral:rRNA from 1 species